CGGCGUUAAUAUAUGACCCGAUUAGCAGCUUCCGGGAAACCAAAGUUUUUCGUUUCCGGGGGAAGUAUGGUUGCAAAGCUGAAACUUAAAGGAAUUGACGGAAGGGCACCACCAGGAGUGGAGCCUGCGGCUUAAUUUGACUCAACACGGGAAAACUCACCCGGCCCGGACACCGUAAGGAUUGACAGACUGAGAGCUCUUUCUUAAUUCGGUGGGUGGUGGUGCAUGGCCGUUCUUAGUUGGUGGAGCGAUUUGUCUGGUUAAUUCCGAUAACGAACGAGACUCUGGCCUAUUAAAUAGACGAUAUAUUUAAAAGUAUAUCGCGCUUCUUAGAGGGACAAGCGGCGUCUAGCCGCAUGAAAUAGAGCAAUAACAGGUCUGUGAUGCCCUUAGAUGUCCGGGGCUGCACGCGCGCUACACUGAAAGAAUCAGUGUGCGUUACGCCUAGUUCGGAAGAACCGGGUAACCCAAGUAAAUUCUUUCGUGCUUGGGAUAGGGAAUUGCAAUUAUUUCCCUUAAACGAGGAAUUCCCAGUAAAUGCGGGUCAUAAGCUCGCGUUGAUUACGU
rnacentral:rRNA from 2 species